UACAGAGGGUGCGAGCGUUAAUCGGAAUUACUGGGCGUAAAGCGCGCGUAGGCGGCUUUGCAAGUCGAGUGUGAAAUCCCCAGGCUUAACCUGGGAACUGCAUUCGAGACUGCAUGGCUAGAGUAUGGGAGAGGGAAGUGGAAUUCCGAGUGUAGAGGUGAAAUUCGUAGAUAUUCGGAAGAACACCAGUGGCGAAGGCGGCUCACUGGACCGGCAUUGACGCUGAGGUGCGAAAGCGUGGGGAGCAAACAGG
rnacentral:rRNA from 1 species